UCUCGUGGAUGAGCAAAGAAGAUGGUUUCUUAAGAUGGAAACUACUCCUGAUGAAGAUUCUGUGAA
rnacentral:pre_miRNA from 2 species